UACGUAUGGUGCAAGCGUUAUCCGGAUUUACUGGGUGUAAAGGGAGCGCAGGCGGCACGGCAAGCCUGAUGUGAAAGCCCGCGGCCCAACCGCGGGACUGCAUUGGGAACUGCGUGGCUGGAGUGCAGGAGGGGCAGGCGGAAUUCCUGGUGUAGCGGUGAAAUGCGUAGAUAUCAGGAGGAACACCGGUGGCGAAGGCGGCCUGCUGGACUGCAACUGACGUUGAGGCCCGAAAGCGUGGGGAGCAAACAGG
rnacentral:rRNA from 1 species